rnacentral:misc_RNA from 1 species
GAUGAAGAACGUAGUGAAAUGCGAUAAGUAAUGUGAAUUGCAGAAUUCAGUGAAUCAUCGAAUCUUUGAACGCACAUUGCGCCCGCCAGCAUUCUGGCGGGCAUGCCUGUUCGAGCGUCAUUUCAACCCUCGAGCCCCCCCGGGGGCCUCGGUGUUGGGGGACGGCACACCAGCCGCCCCCGAAAUGCAGUGGCGACCCCGCCGCAGCCUCCCCUGCGUAGUAGCACACACCUCGCACCGGAGUGCGGAGGCGGUCACGCCGUAAAACGCCCAACUUUCUUAGAGUUGACCUCGGAUCAGGUAGGAAUACCCGCUGAACUUAAGCAUAUCAAUAAGCGGAGGA